rnacentral:rRNA from 1 species
CGUCUAUAUACGUAUAGCAUAUCAAUAAGCGGAGGAAAAGAAACUAACAAGGAUUCCCUUAGUAACGGCGAGUGAAGCGGGAAGAGCUCAAAUUUGAAAUCUUCAAGGUUCUACCUUGACUGAAUUGUAGUUUAAAGAAGUGUUUUCCUGUUAGAGGAGUAGCAAAAGUUCCUUGGAAUGGGACAUCAUAGAGGGUGAGAAUCCCGUAUUUGGUUACUUCUUUCUAGCUUUGUGAUACACUUUCAAAGAGUCGGAUUGUUUGGGAAUGCAGUCCAAAAUGGGUGGUAAAUUUCAUCUAAAGCUAAAUAUUGGCGAGAGACCGAUAGCGAACAAGUACCGUGAGGGAAAGAUGAAAAGAACUUUGAAAAGAGAGUUAAACAGUACGUGAAAUUGUCAAAAGGGAAGCGUUUGACACCAGUGUUGUUUUUCCGAAAAUCAAUUAAGAGUGGCUUGAUUUUGUGUUGUAUUGACCCUAUCAGCUUUCUUCACUCUUUUUCGAGUCUUUCUUAAUGCACUUUUCGGUUAACAAGUCAACAUCAAUUUCUUUUGUUGUAAAAGGGUAUUUGGAAGGUGGCUUUCUUUUCGGAGAAAGUGUUUAUAGCCUUAUACCUCUACAAUCGGAGAGAUAGAGGUCUGCAGCGUAGAUCCUUCGGGGCUAGAUACACUUGUGCUAUGUUAUAGCUUUUCAUAGACAACUUGUUGACUAUGUUUAGUCAUGUAGCUUACCCGCUUGUGCUAUUUUACCUACGCUUAGGAUGUUGAGUCAUCACACAUCUCU